rnacentral:rRNA from 1 species
AGCGAACGCUGGCGGCAGGCCUAACACAUGCAAGUCGAACGAAGUCUUCGGACUUAGUGGCGGACGGGUGAGUAACACGUGGGAACGUACCUUUUGGUUCGGAACAACUCAGGGAAACUUGAGCUAAUACCGGAUGAGCCCUUAGGGGGAAAGAUUUAUCGCCGAAAGAGCGGCCCGCGUUAGAUUAGCUAGUUGGUGAGGUAAAGGCUCACCAAGGCUACGAUCUAUAGCUGGUCUGAGAGGAUGAUCAGCCACGCUGGGACUGAGACACGGCCCAGACUCCUACGGGAGGCAGCAGUGGGGAAUCUUGCGCAAUGGGCGAAAGCCUGACGCAGCCAUGCCGCGUGAAUGAUGAAGGUCUUAGGAUUGUAAAAUUCUUUUACCAGGGACGAUAAUGACGGUACCUGGAGAAAAAGCCCCGGCUAACUUCGUGCCAGCCGCCGCCGCAGUAA